rnacentral:rRNA from 1 species
GGGGGAUAACUAUUGGAAACGAUAGCUAAUACCGCAUAAAAGACGAUAUCGCAUGAUAUUGAUUUGAAAGGUGCAAAUGCAUCACUAAGAGAUGGACCUGCGUUGUAUUAGCUAGUUGGUGAGGUAACGGCUCACCAAGGCAACGAUACAUAGCCGACCUGAGAGGGUGAUCGGCCACACUGGGACUGAGACACGGCCCAG